rnacentral:lncRNA from 1 species
UUAGGUUCACAAGUUUUAAUUUGAUUUAAUUUUUUUUCUUCCAAUUCUCAAAAAUAAUGAGCAUUGGAUGGUAUCAUAUGUUCCUAGGGAGGCUAAUUAGGUUGCAGAUCGAAUUGCCAAGAUGGUACAUGGAGAUUCAGAGGGUGUUAGCUCCCCCCAACUUGAUCGAGGACAUUGUUAAUGAUAAGUCUAAAGGCUUUUUUAAAUUAGUCAAUGUAAUUUAAUUUCUUGAGUUUUGUUUCCUCUAUCAAUUUUUUUUUCAAAUAAAAUGCAAUUUAAUUCGAAUACAA